rnacentral:rRNA from 1 species
AUUGAACGCUGGCGGCAGGCUUAACACAUGCAAGUCGAGCGGAGAUGAGGUGCUUGCACCUUAUCUUAGCGGCGGACGGGUGAGUAAUGCUUAGGAAUCUGCCUAUUAGUGGGGGACAACAUUCCGAAAGGAAUGCUAAUACCGCAUACGUCCUACGGGAGAAAGCAGGGGAUCUUCGGACCUUGCGCUAAUAGAUGAGCCUAAGUCGGAUUAGCUAGUUGGUGGGGUAAAGGCCUACCAAGGCGACGAUCUGUAGCGGGCCUGAGAGGAUGAUCCGCCACACUGGGACUGGAACACGGCCCAGACUCCUACGGGAGGCAGCAGUGGGGAAUAUUGGACAAUGGGGGGAACCCUGAUCCAGCCAUGCCGCGUGUGUGAAGAAGGCCUUAUGGUUGUAAGGCACUUUAAGCGAGGAGGAGGCUACUGAGACUAAUACUCUUGGAUAGUGGACGUUACUCGCAGAAUAAGCACCGGCUAACUCUGUGCCAGCCGCCGCCGUAAAAC